rnacentral:rRNA from 1 species
UGAGGAAUAUUGGUCAAUGGGCGGGAGCCUGAACCAGCCAAGCCGCGUGAGGGAUGAAGGCCCUAUGGGUCGUAAACCUCUUUUGUCAGGGAACAAAAGCGAGUAUGUAUACUAGUCUGAGUGUACCUGAAGAAAAAGCAUCGGCUAACUCCGUGCCAGCAGCUGCGGUAAUACGGAGGAUGCGAGCGUUAUCCGGAUUUAUUGGGUUUAAAGGGUGCGUAGGCGGCGAUGCAAGUCAGCGGUAAAAGCCCGGGGCUCAACCCCGGCGAGCCGUUGAAACUGCAGUGCUAGAGAAGGCGAGAGGUACGCGGAAUGCGCAGUGUAGCGGUGAAAUGCUUAGAUAUUGCGCAGAACUCCGAUUGCGAAGGCAGCGUACUGGCGCCUGACUGACGCUGAGGCACGAAAGCGUGGGGGAUCGAACAGGAUUAGAUACC